rnacentral:rRNA from 1 species
GAUGAACGCUAGCGGCAGGCCUAAUACAUGCAAGUCGAACGAUACUUUCCAGCUUGCUGGAGAGGAAAGUGGCGCACGGGUGCGUAACGCGUAUGCAACCUACCUUCAUCAGGGGGAUAGCCCGGAGAAAUCCGGAUUAAUACCGCAUAAAAUCACAGGAUGGCAUUAUCCAAUGAUCAAACAUUUAUGGGAUGGAGAUGGGCAUGCGUGUCAUUAGCUAGUUGGCGGGGUAACGGCCCACCAAGGCGACGAUGACUAGGGGAUCUGAGAGGAUGGCCCCCAACACUGGUACUGAGACACGGACCAGACUCCUACGGGAGGCAGCAGUAAGGAAUAUUGGUCAAUGGAGGCAACUCUGAACCAGCCAUGCCGCGUGCAGGAAGACUGCCCUAUGGGUUGUAAACUGCUUUUAUCCGGGAAUAAACCUCAUUACGAGUAAUGAGCUGAAUGUACCGGAAGAAUAAGGAUCGGCUAACUCCGUGCCAGCCGCCGCCGUAACAC